UCGUGCUUGAUUGUUAGGAAACAUUAGACUAAGCAGAAAGUGGUUCACAAGGCUGCCUCAGGAGUUUUAGGCAUCACGAAGAAAAGAUACAUUUCAUGGAUGGCUUUAAAAUCCUUGCACUUUACCACUCGAUGUCAUUAAAACGUCACACAGACAUCAUCAGUGGUCUCUCUGUUUGCACGCUCUCAGUCUCUGUGAUUUUGACACAUAUUUUGUUAACAUAGAAAAUCUACAGCUCCCGUCAAAUAACAGCGAUAUUAUUGAGCUCAUUUGAGUGGAGCCAACCUUGAAAGAAUGGCUGCAGUUUUUAGAACUAGGUGUUGAAGUUUGUUCUUUAUGCAGAAUAUUUGAUAGCUGGCUCAUAAAAAUCAGACAUCCAAUAACUCAAAUUAUUAGAAAAAUUCCCAAGAUCAAUCAAAAGAAGGAUUUGCAAUAGAGAAAUCUCUUACUUCUGAAAAGCAUAUUCAUUUAUACAGUCAAUUCUUGGAAAGGGCUCCUUUCCUACAAACGUCUACAUCAAUGCGGUGUGAUGUAGAGGUGAUCAGCCUUUACUACUGCUCAGGUGUUACAAAAGCACAGGUUUUGAUAGCGACCUUCAGCUCGUCUGUGUUUUUGAGUCGAGUGUUUUUCAUCUUUCUACUGACAACACCACUUAUGGGGUUCAUGUCAGCUGGUUGUCACAUCAAGCACAGUAAUA